rnacentral:lncRNA from 1 species
UGGCAACUUGUUAACUAGUGUUUGAUUAGCGAACGUUUCCUAAUCAAACUAGAACUAAGGAGGAAUUUGGAUUGUGAGAAGCGUCUUCCACAUCCUAAACUAAUUUAUUGAAAUAAAUAGGAGUAUCGAAAAGAUCAAUGAUCAAUUCUAAACAAACUGAAAUAGAUCCAUUCUUCAACUAGAAUUCUUCUCCUAUUGAAAUUCUCAUCUAUUUAAAUUAUUGUUUUCUCUUGCUAUUUAGUUUUAAUCAUCAAAACAAAACCCCCCUCUUUUAAUUUCUUGUUAUUUACUUGUCCAAGUCAUUAGUAGGAAAAUCCGUAGUGUCAAAUCCCUGUGGUUCGACCCUAUUGCCACUAUCUACAAGUUAAUUGUUGAUUGUUUAAUAGGUUUAUUUUUGACGGCUUCGACAACCGCUUAUCAAAAAUUGGCGCCGUUGCCAGGGAUUUGAUCUAACUAACGUAUUUUCCUUUUAUGACCAGGGCUGAUCGUAAAGAAGCUCUUCUUUACGAUCCAUAAAUUGAACGCACUGCCAAGACCUUACAAGCAUGGCUACGGUAAGUAUGUCUUUUCUCUCUUCUCAAAUUUCUGAACUAACCUCUAUUGUGAGAAAUUAUGGUAUAGGUCAAGCUCGACAAG